rnacentral:rRNA from 1 species
CCUACGGGAGGCAGCAGUGGGGGAUAUUGCACAAUGGGCGCAAGCCUGAUGCAGCGACGCCGCGUGGAGGAAGAAGGUUUUCGGAUUGUAAACUCCUGUCUUCAGGGACGAUAAUGACGGUACCUGAGGAGGAAGCCACGGCUAACUACGUGCCAGCAGCCGCGGUAAUACGUAGGUGGCAAGCGUUGUCCGGAAUUACUGGGCGUAAAGCGCUCGUAGGCGGUAUGUCAAGUCAAGGGUGAAAUCCCCGCGCUCAACGUGGGAACUGCCUUUGAAACUGGCAAACUGGAGUGUGUGAGAGGAUAGUGGAAUUCCAGGUGUAGGAGUGAAAUCCGUAGAUAUCUGGAGGAACAUCAGUGGCGAAGGCGACUAUCUGGCACAUAACUGACGCUGAGGAGCGAAAGCGUGGGUAGCAAACAGGAUUAGAUACCCGUGUAGUC